CACACGGUAAACGAUGAAUGCUAGGUGUAGGAGGUAUCGACCCCUUCUGUGCCGGAGUCAACACAAUAAGCAUUCCGCCUGGGGAGUACGGUCGCAAGAUUAAAACUCAAAGGAAUUGACGGGGGCCCGCACAAGCAGCGGAGCAUGUGGUUUAAUUCGAAGCAACGCGAAGAACCUUACCAGGUCUUGACAUCCAGUUAAAGCUUGUGAAAGCAAGUGUCCCUUCGGGGGAACUGAGACAGGUGG
rnacentral:rRNA from 1 species